CGGCGGACGGGUGAGUAACGCGUAGGAAUCUACCCAGUAGUGGGGGACAACUUGGGGAAACUCAAGCUAAUACCGCAUACGCCCUAUGGGGGAAAGCGGGGGACCUUCGGGCCUCGUGCUAUUGGAUGAGCCUGCGUCGGAUUAGCUAGUUGGUGGGGUAAGAGCCCACCAAGGCGACGAUCCGUAGCUGGUCUGAGAGGAUGAUCAGCCACACUGGAACUGAGACACGGUCCAG
rnacentral:rRNA from 1 species